rnacentral:rRNA from 1 species
UACGGAGGAUGCGAGCGUUAUCCGGAUUUAUUGGGUUUAAAGGGUGCGCAGGCGGAUUUUUAAGUCAGCGGUCAAAUCGUGGGGCUCAACCCCGUCGUGCCGUUGAAACUGGCGUUCUUGAGUGAGCGAGAAGUAUGCGGAAUGCGUGGUGUAGCGGUGAAAUGCAUAGAUAUCACGCAGAACUCCGAUUGCGAAGGCAGCUUACUAAGCCAUAACUGACACUGAAGCACGAAAGCGUGGGGAUCAAACAGG